CCCCUAGAUGUUCUGGGCCGCACGCGCGCUACACUGAACAGUUCAACAAGUCUUAACCUUGGCCGAUAGGUCUGGGUAAUCUUUGAACGCUGUUCGUGAUUGGGAUAGACCUUUGCAAUUAUGGGUCUUCAACGAGGAAUUCCUAGUAAACGCAAGUCAUCAGCUUGCAUUGAUUACGUCCCUACCCUUUGUACACACCGCCCGUCGCACCUACCGAUUGAAUGGUCCGGUGAAGCCUCGGGAUUGCGAAUGCUUCGUGCGGACGCGAGAACUUGGCUAAACCUUACCAUUUAGAGGAAGGUGAAGUCGUAACA
rnacentral:rRNA from 1 species